GACCAGACUCCUACGGGAGGCAGCAGUGGGGAAUAUUGCACAAUGGGGGAAACCCUGAUGCAGCGACGCCGCGUGAGCGAUGAAGUAUUUCGGUAUGUAAAGCUCUAUCAGCAGGGAAGAAAAUGACGGUACCUGACCAAGAAGCCCCGGCUAACUACGUGCCAGCAGCCGCGGUAAUACGUAGGGGGCAAGCGUUAUCCGGAUUUACUGGGUGUAAAGGGAGCGUAGACGGCAAGGCAAGUCUGGAGUGAAAGCCCGUGGCUCAACCACGGGACUGCUUUGGAAACUGUGUUUCUUGAGUGCUGGAGAGGCAAUCGGAAUUCCGUGUGUAGCGGUGAAAUGCGUAGAUAUACGGAGGAACACCAGUGGCGAAGGCGGAUUGCUGGACAGUAACUGACGCUGAGGCGCGAAAGCGUGGGGAGCAAACAGGAUUAGAUCCCCCAGUA
rnacentral:rRNA from 1 species